AAGUCGUAACAAGGUUUCCGUAGGUGAACCUGCGGAAGGAUCAUUAACGAAGUUAAAGCUUGGUCAGUGCAAUACAUGCACGACCGAGUCUCCUUCUCUAUCACACCCCUGUGCACACAUAUGCUUAGGCUUCAACGGAUCGGGGAGAGGCGCGUCUAAUUAGGAUUUAGCCUAGUAGGUGUGGGUCCAGCGAUGGACACGCGGCCGAAAGGUUAAUCUUGAUCGGAAGCAGUAGUAUUCUCGGUCUCGCGGACCUAAUCUAAAUAUAACAACCCAUUAUAAACAAGUCUAAUAGAACGUCUAGUCCUACGGGACACUAAGUUAAUACAACUUUCAACAACGGAUCUCUUGGCUCUC
rnacentral:misc_RNA from 1 species